GAUAAAGAACGUAGCGAAAUGCGCUAAGUAAUGUGAAUUGCAGAAUUCAGUGAAUCAUCGAAUCUUUGAACGCACAUUGCGCCCGCCAGUAUUCUGGCGGGCAUGCCUGUUCGAGCGUCAUUUCAACCAUCAAGCCCCAGGCUUGUGUUGGGGACCUGCGGCUGCCGCAGGCCCUGAAAACCAGUGGCGGGCUCGCUGUCACACCGGGCGUAGUAGAUUUUAUCUCGCUCUGGGCGUGCUGCGGGUUCCGGCCGUUAAAAAACCCUUUUAACCCAAGGUUGACCUCGGAUCAGGUAGGAAUACCCGCUGAACUUAAGCAUAUCAAUAAGCGGAGGA
rnacentral:misc_RNA from 1 species